CCCCUGCGCGCCCGCGGACAAGCGGGUGCACACUCACGCGCUCCGUCGCCUCUAGUAUCCAGCUCCGAGGCGCCCCGGGCGGCAGGCCGGCCUGGGAGGGCGGCGGCACCCAGUCCCCAUCAGCUGGCACCACGGGGACCAACGGUCAGAAGGACGCGGUUCUGCACGCGCCAUUCUCGCCCGUCACGCGUCCCAGCGGCGCCUGUUACAAGCGACUCGCCCGCCGCCCUUGGGAAGUCCUAGAUCCUGCUCCGCCGAGCUGCAGUCGCAGAGGUCAGGAGGCGUCCGAAGUUCUGGGGGCCGCCACCAACUUCGCGCCGCAGCCAGUUGCAGAAAGGGCGACCCGGGCACGUCCGCCUUUGCACACCAGCCGGCAACUGGCUGAGCGAGCGGCCAGGCCCGCGGACGCCACGGGCCGCCCAGGCAGCCGCUGGAGCGCGUCCCGAGAGGCGCCGCAUUCUAAGAGGUUGCCGCCUCAACGGCUCUUCAGCGGGAGCGGGCACUGCAGAGGACCACCGCGGACAGUACGCGCCUUGCGGGCGGGAUCUGCACCUGCAUCUGGGGCCUUGGGGCAGUAGGCAAUGCAGUGAACCAUUCAGCCAAAGAGAGCACAGGACGCAGCACCUAUUUCAAUAAUAUUAAAGCUCUCAUAGGAGAGACGAUUAAUACAAUAGAAGCAGAUGGAGAUACAAGGAAGCCAAAUGAUCAUGAAACGUUGAAAGAGAACAGCGGGGAGUUGACAGGACUCCACAAUGGGAAGGAGGAGUGAACAUCCUGUGGAUCUCACUGAAGAGCUUCCAAAUUAGAGCCAUAGAUUCCUGAAACUACAAGUGGAAGAGGCUUUGUUCUGAUUGCACUGUCUUGUGGAAGGCUUCUGAUUGCACAGAACCCAGGGAGGGCCUGACAACACUGAAGUCAGAGCAAGAAGAUGCUGUCCACACAUCAUGGAGUCCAAGGUGGAGGGAGAGCAGUGCACCCACUCUCUGCAGGUUCAGGAUGUGCAGCAGCAUCACCUUCUCUUCCUCACCGUCAACAUCUGGAUAACAGGGCACAGCGAGGACUGGAUACUUCAAGAAUGUUUUGUCCGGGAUGAGUGUGUGCCCCACCAGUGUGGGGAGAUGCAGGGAGAAUAAGAACCUUCUGCAACAGAAUCCAGUUUACAGGAAGAAGAAGAAGAACAGAUACUAAGAGGAAGAGGGGAACUGUGAGAUUAGGAUGGAGGCCAGUGAAUGGUCCAUGACUGGCAGCACAAUAACCAUGGGGGAAUUGGGAAGAGAGGCUCUUCUUUGCUGCCUAUGAGGGUUCCCAGAUGCAGUCUGAAGUGUGGGUUGUGGGACAACAGAAUGGUACAGAUUGAAGUUGGGUGGGAGAUGGAUUGGGGGGCCUGUCCCUUUGCUGGCUGCUUACAGCCAUGGACUUGAGGUAUGGGCAGGAGCUGUCACUGGAAGCAGGAGAAGAUGGAAAAAUCACCGCCAUAGAAGGGGGGGUAGUGUCCAUGGCCGUGUCCUCAGGCAGCACAGUGGGAUGCUGGGAAAGAUGAGCUGAUGACUUUGCUAUGGUGGUUGGGGGGACACUCCUAGCAGAGUCCUGGCCCUGGGUAUUGGGGCUAUGAGUGGAAGGGACUAGAGCAGGUCUUGGAAGGAAUGAGGAGAAGGAGGAAGAGGAGCAGCAGGAGGAGCAGCCAAAGGAGAGGGAUUAUUAGGAGGAGGAAGAGGAGGAGGAGGAGGGAAUGGAGAAGGGGAAAGAGAAGAAAAUGAAGGGGGAAGAGAAGGAGGAGGAAGAGAAAGAGGAGAAGGAGAAUCAAUACACAUGGGGGUUGGGGAUUCCAUUCUUGAAGAGGUAGACUUGGAGGGGAAAGGGACCUGGGUAUGAGGUGUGGGAAUUUGGGAAUUGGGAGGUGCCACAGGUCUUGCCAGGUGUGUGGUUUGAUGAAACACAUUAGGGGUAACACCCACACUGGGACUGGGCCUGAAGGAAAAAAGAGGGUUAGUGGGAGGAGGCAGAGGAAUGGAAGUUGGGAUUUCCCCCUCAUCUUUAUUAGGUGAGGUGGAAGGUCGAGGGAUAGAUAGGUUCAGGGGCCCAGUAGGCUGGAACUCCAACUGCCUGUUGACAAGGAUA